UCGAUUUACCUUCGGGUAUUGAGGAUGGCGGACGGGUGAGUAACGCGUAAGGAACUUGCCUCUUGGUCUGGGACAACUGUUGGAAACGACAGCUAAUACCGGAUAUUAUGAGAUUCUCGCAUGGGAAACUUAUGAAAGCUAUAUGCGCCAAGAGAGAGCCUUGCGUUCCAUUAGCUAGUUGGUGGGGUAACGGCCCACCAAGGCGACGAUGGAUAGCCGGCCUGAGAGGGUGAACGGCCACAAGGGGACUGAGACACGGCCCUUACUCCUACGGGAGGCAGCAGUGGGGAAUAUUGGACAAUGGGCCACAAGCCUGAUCCAGCAAUUCUGUGUGCACGAUGAAGGUCUUCGGAUUGUAAAGUGCUUUCAGUUGGGAAGAAGAAAGUGACGGUACCAACAGAAGAAGCGACGGCUAAAUACGUGCCAGCAGCCGCGGUAAUACGUAUGUCGCAAGCGUUAUCCGGAUUUAUUGGGCGUAAAGCGCGUCUAGGCGGAAAAAUAAGUCUGAUGUUAAAAUGCGGGGCUCAACUCCGUAUUGCGUUGGAAACUGUUUUUCUAGAGUACUGGAGAGGUGGGCGGAACUACAAGUGUAGAGGUGAAAUUCGUAGAUAUUUGUAGGA
rnacentral:rRNA from 1 species